rnacentral:rRNA from 1 species
GACAGAGGGUGCAAACGUUGUUCGGAAUUACUGGGCGUAAAGAGCUCGUAGGUGGUUUGUCGCGUUGUUCGUGAAAACUCACAACUCAAUUGUGGGCGUGCGGGCGAUACGGGCAGACUGGAGUACUGCAGGGGAGACUGGAAUUCCUGGUGUAGCGGUGGAAUGCGCAGAUAUCAGGAGGAACACCGGUGGCGAAGGCGGGUCUCUGGGCAGUAACUGACGCUGAGGAGCGAAAGCGUGGGGAGCGAACAGG